rnacentral:rRNA from 1 species
GAUGAACGCUGGCGGCGUGCCUAAUACAUGCAAGUCGAGCGAACAGACGAGGAGCUUGCUCCUCUGACGUUAGCGGCGGACGGGUGAGUAACACGUGGAUAACAUACCUAUAAGACUGGGAUAACUUCGGGAAACCGGAGCGAAUACCGGAUAAUAUAUUGAACCGCAUGGUUCAAUAGUGAAAGACGGUUUUGCUGUCACUUAUAGAUGGAUCCGCGCCGCAUUAGCUAGUUGGUAAGGUAACGGCUUACCAAGGCAACGAUGCGUAGCCGACCUGAGAGGGUGAUCGGCCACACUGGAACUGAGACACGGCCCAGACUCCUACGGGAGGCAGCAGUAGGGAAUCUUCCGCAAUGGGCGAAAGCCUGACGGAGCAACGCCGCGUGAGUGAUGAAGGUCUUCGGAUCGUAAAGCUCUGUUAUUAGGGAAGAACAAAUGUGUAAGUAACUAUGCACGUCUUGACGGUACCUAAUCAGAAAGCCACGGCUAACUACGUG